CUAACAUCGGGAAUGAAUCCAACAUGGCGGACGUAGUUCUCUGUCAGGAAGACACGGACGAUAUUGGAGAAACUGUAGAGGGCGAGCUCUCAGCCGGAGAGGAGGGACAGGAGGAGGAGCCUCUCUCACCGCUGGAGAACCUUCGCAAAUACUCGAGCAGCGACAAUGUCUUCGA